rnacentral:misc_RNA from 1 species
GAUGAAGAACGUAGCAAAAUGCGAUAAGUAAUGUGAAUUGCAGAAUUCAGUGAAUCAUCGAAUCUUUGAACGCACAUUGCGCCCGCCAGAAUUCUGGCGGGCAUGCCUGUUCGAGCGUCAUUUCAACCCUCAAGCACAGCUUGGUGUUGGGACUCGCGUUAAUUCGCGUUCCCCAAAUUGAUUGGCGGUCACGUCGAGCUUCCAUAGCGUAGUAGUAAAACCCUCGUUACUGGUAAUCGUCGCGGCCACGCCGUUAAACCCCAACUUCUGAAUGUUGACCUCGGAUCAGGUAGGAAUACCCGCUGAACUUAAGCAUAUCAAUAAGCGGAGGA